rnacentral:tRNA from 1 species
GUAGAUAUAGUUUAACAAAAACAUUAGAUUGUGAUUCUGAAGACAAAGGUUAAAGUCCUUUUAUCCACC